AAUUCAGUCAAAAUCUACAUAUGAGUAAGAGAACAAAUGUCAAAACUAGAAUAGUUAAAUUUAAAUGGAUUGUUAGUCCAUGAUAAUUACAGAGAAUAAAGUGAACUAAAAAACUCGGUCUUAAACAAAUUGCGAUAACUUUAUACAACAAAAAAGAGAAGGACCAUCAUUAGGACGUUCAUUAGGAACAAAUAAGGUCGGAAGUGAGUGAAUGGAUUAUAAAUCAAUUAGAGAGCCAACUUGGGGCUGCAUAGAUUGCUGUUGCAUGCCCUGCAUCGGUUGUUG